rnacentral:rRNA from 1 species
UACGUAGGGUCCAAGCGUUAUCCGGAAUUACUGGGCGUAAAGCGAGUGUAGGUGGCUGUGUAAGUGUAAUGCGAAAUCUUGCGGCUCAACCGUAUAGACUGUAUUGCAUACUGCAUAGCUCGAGGAUGGGAGAGGUACGUGGAAUUACCGGUGUAGCAGUGAAAUGCGUAGAUAUCGGUAGGAACACCAAUGGCGAAGGCAGCGUACUGGCCCAUAUCUGACACUCAGACUCGAAAGCGUGGGGAGCGAACAGG